rnacentral:rRNA from 1 species
UGUCGUCAGCUCGUGUCGUGAGAUGUUGGGUUAAGUCCCGNNNNNNNNNNAACCCUCAUCCUUAGUUACCAUCAGGUAAUGCUGGGGACUUUAAGGAAACUGCCAGUGAUAAACUGGAGGAAGGUGGGGAUGAUGUCAAGUCAUCAUGGCCCUUAUGGAGUGGGCUANNNNNNUGCUACAAUGGUGGCUACAAUGGGCUGCAAAGUCGCGANGCUAAGCUAAUCCCUUAAAAGCCAUCUCAGUUCGGAUUGUACUCUGCAACUCGAGUGCAUGAAGUUGGAAUCGCUAGUAAUCGUGGAUCAGCAUGCCACGGUGAAUACGUUCUCGGGUCUUGUACACACUGCCCGUCACGCCAUGGGAAUUG